rnacentral:tRNA from 1 species
GCCGGCGUAGCUCAGACUGGCUAGAGCGAUUCCUUCGUAAGGAAUAGGUCGGGGGUUCAAAUCCCCCCGCCGGCU